GCCGGGCGUCGUGGCGGGCGUCUGUAAUGCAAGUGACUGGCAGGCAGAUGGUGGUGGAUGGAGUGAGAGGAGGAGUCCUGUUGGGUGCUCGGCGACGGCGACCGAGCGUCCAGACCAAGCGCGGUGUCGAUAAGGUGUCACUGGGGGAGCCCGGAGGCAGCUGGUCGUACAAUGAGGGACGCACGGCUCAGGGCCGAGAGGCAGCAGGCAAAAGUCCGCGCAUCGCGACAGUGGUCGGAUAGCGCUUGCGAGUCGUUGACAUCUGCCAGCCUCCCCAAUACCUUCAGACCCAUCGUCGA
rfam:Ascaris suum AG00002, whole genome shotgun sequence.